AUGGGUGGUGCAUCAAGAGCAACUCACGACCUGCGGGAGCAGCUACGUGAUAUGUCAACUCGGAUGACGGUGUACGAGACUCGUCCAUCAGCGAGUGAUUUCCUGCUUGCAAGAUUUUUUUUCAAUGCGCCAUUCGUCUGCCUCGGCGGCUUCCGGAACACCCGCGGUGUGUAUGAGCUCGAGGAGGGCGAGGGGCAGGGGCUCGUGCUAGAGCUCGACGAGACACACUUCGAUUUCGGCACAAACUACGAGCUGGAGUGCGAGACCGCGGAGCCCGACCAGGCCAAGGAGGUCCUGGAGCGGCUGCUCACCGUGGUUGGGGUGCCGUAUGAGUACUCCCGGAGCAAUAAGUUCGCGUGCUUCAUGGCCGGGAAGCUGCUUCCAUGA
rnacentral:rRNA from 1 species